rnacentral:rRNA from 1 species
UACGGGGGGAGCAAGCGUUGAUCGGAUUUACUGGGCGUAAAGGGCGCGUAGGCGGCCACCGCAAGUCGACUGUGAAAUCUCCGGGCUUAACCCGGAAAGGUCAGCCGAUACUGCGGGGCUAGAGUGCAGAAGGGGCAACUGGAAUUCUCGGUGUAGCGGUGAAAUGCGUAGAUAUCGAGAGGAACACCUGCGGCGAAGGCGGGUUGCUGGGCUGACACUGACGCUGAGGCGCGAAAGCUAGGGGAGCGAACGGG